UUCCUUGGUUUAAUGCCCAAGCAGAUGAGCUUAGUAGAAGAUGUUAUACAGAGUCUGGACUGAUGAAAUUCUUCCACUACAAGGUAGUGCUAUUGCCAUUUUCUCCUAAUGACUAUUUUGCAAUCCUGAGAGAGACAAAUCAUUUGGGUUAGUCAGAUUUUAACAAAGAAACUGAAGACAAAUAAUGUCUUUGGUCUUAAAAGCUAUAUACUGAUGUAUUGAUUCAUCUAAGAUUUUGAGACAAAACUGAGGCUCUGAUGUUCAUCAUCAUGUUUGUAUGUGAACCACAGGCCCAAGUUACAAGCUUCUGAGAUCGUCCAUCCUGAUAAGAUUUCCCUUCUCUUAUCUACUGUACUUUGUUUUCCACUGGUUUUCUUGUUUUUUCAAUUCUUUUUUUUUUCUGUUUUUCUUUUUUUUUUUCUUUUCUCUUUUUUUUUUUUUUUUUUUAUUUUUUUUUUUUUUUUUCUCAUGCAUUUGAUGAUUUAUCGGAUGUCUAUAUCAAGUGGUUGAUUCACAGUGAAGGACUGGAAUUAUUGAAAUAACGUCGUGUCCUCUUGGCCUUCACUUUCAUCUGAGACUUUGAAAUUGAUGGAGCUUUCUGCCUUUAAACUGUGGGCUUGCAUUCCUGGUUAACAGACAGAGAACUGGAGCAAUGAACUCUGCUGGGGCAUGAAUACAUUAGAAUGGAGGAAAUCGCUGUUAGGAGAGACUAGAAUAACACAUCUCCUCUGUAAAACAGUGGACCUUGGACCUGACUUCUCACCAUUGAUUUGUCGGGUGACUGCUGAGAUGUCUGACCCUGUUUACUGACUCCAGACCUGAUCCUGACCCUGACCUUUUGGUUUAACUUCUUCACUUGAUCUCAGACCUCCAAGACUUAUGCACUAUGGACUUAACUGAUAAUCUGUCCUCCGGGCUGAUCCCCA
rnacentral:lncRNA from 1 species